rnacentral:snRNA from 1 species
AGGGCGAGGCUCAGUCAUUGCACUGCGACUGUGCUGAACACUGCGAAUUCCCCAAAUGUGGAAAUCUCG